GACGAACGCUGGCGGCGUGCCUAAUACAUGCAAGUAGAACGCUGAAGGAGGAGCUUGCUUCUCUGGAUGAGUUGCGAACGGGUGAGUAACGCGUAGGUAACCUGCCUGGUAGCGGGGGAUAACUAUUGGAAACGAUAGCUAAUACCGCAUAAUAUUGACUAUUGCAUGAUAGUCAGUUGAAAGGUGCAACUGCACCACUACCAGAUGGACCUGCGUUGUAUUAGCUAGUUGGUGGGGUAACGGCUCACCAAGGCGACGAUACAUAGCCGACCUGAGAGGGUGAUCGGCCACACUGGGACUGAGACACGGCCCAGACUCCUAAGGGAGGCAGCAGUAGGGAAUCUUCGGCAAUGGACGGAAGUCUGACCGAGCAACGCCGCGUGAGGGAAGAAGGGUGUCGGAUCGUAAAGAUCUGUUGUAAGAGAAGAACGAGUGCGAGAGUGGAAAGCUCACACUGUGACGGUAUCUUACCAGAAAGGGACGGCUAACUACGUG
rnacentral:rRNA from 1 species